rnacentral:tRNA from 1 species
AUUAAGAUGGCAGAGCCCGGUAAUUGCAAAAGGCCUAAGCCCUUCUCCCCGGGGGUUCAAAUCCCUCUCUUAAUU